rnacentral:rRNA from 1 species
GAUGAACGCUGGCGGCGUGCCUAACACAUGCAAGUCGAACGAAGCACUGUUAACGGAGAUUCGUCGAAGUUAACUUUGACUUAGUGGCGGACGGGUGAGUAAUGUAUGAGCAACCUGCCUUUCAGAGGGGGACAACAGUUGGAAACGACUGCUAAUACCGCAUAAUGUACCGUGAGGGCAUCCUCGUGGUACCAAAGGAGCAAUCCGCUGAAAGAUGGGCUCAUAUCUGAUUAGCUAGUUGGUGAGGUAACGGCUCACCAAGGCUGCGAUCAGUAGCCGGACUGAGAGGUUGAACGGCCACAUUGGGACUGAGAUACGGCCCAG